rnacentral:lncRNA from 1 species
ACUAUGGGUUAACCAGGUAACUAUGCUCUUUGUGAAAUGUACCAGAGUAGCCACGACAACUUGUAAUCUGUCAUUAACGGAGCAUAAUGCACUCAGAAAGUUCUGCCAGAACUCUUUGCUCUCCCCACUCCCCCGCCCUCUACUGCUGUAUCCUGCUUGCUAUAUUCCCAGGAAAACUCCAAUAAAAUUAAGCUUCCUAGAUAUAAAAAGAGGUAAACAUCAAACACACCAGUCCAUCUCUUUUAUGAAGACAAAUGGCCUUCUACUAACACAACUCAGAUGAGUCUUCCUGGAGAGUUGAGCUAAGGAUGAGAAAAGUACCCAUGGAUUUUAUAAUUCACUUCUGAUGAAACAUAUUCUGAUAGACAGUAUAAAUCUAUCAGGAUUCUGACAAGAAAGAG